rnacentral:lncRNA from 13 species
UAUUACUUGUUGCAUCAGAUCCCUUUGCAGGUGUUUCAUUGCUAUUUAAACAUCUGAAACAUACAUUAUGCAUAUAACCUCAAACAUUGCAUCUUAAUCUCGAUAUUUAUUAAAAGAAGGAAAUCAUCGAAUUUUAUUAUCCCAUAAAAUUUGAAUCGCAAUGUAAAUAUUUGGAUAGAUCAGAUUUAGUUUUUAUUCAGUUAAGUAUUUUAGUACAUCUAAAACAUAACUUUGAUUGUUUUCUGGAACUACCUAAAUACAAUAUAGUAUCGUAUGAUGCAGGAAAGUUGUUCCUCAUGAGAAGUGUCUGAAGUAAUCCAAAAGAACAAAAAAAUACUUGACAGCUUUUAUUCGAUCGAUCACAGUAUUUCUGAUUAUUAUUAAUAAUAUUUUAUAUAAUAUUACAAACUUAAACUAUUUUUAAUAAUAUUUUUAAUUAUAUUAAUAAUAAUUUAAUAUUAACUUUAGCCAGCUUUGAUUGCAGCUUGGAUUCCGAUUGUGAGGAGCACCCCGAGACCGAUCAUGAAUAAAGGCUGCAAAUAUUUGAAAAUGAGCGGAAUAUUUCUGAUUUGAUUACUCAUCAGCACUAAGUCAUAGAAUAAAUAAUUAAGGUUUAGGCAUAAGGUCAGGUAUAAGAAUAGGUAUAUGGUUAGUAAACUCGGUUAAGGAAUGGAUGGACGAGUGUGUUUAGCUAUGAUGUAAACCAAGUCCACUUCUCGGCUUAAUUGUAUAUUGAAGUAAUAAACUUAUUAUUCACUAA